UUAUAGUUGGUUCCCAAGUCUGCAACACCGUGAACAGCUGACACCAGAUUGCAGGUCAUCUGGGUUGUCACAGACCAAGAUGUGGCAGCGUUUGAGGCAGUGGGAGCAUCUCCAGAUGGCUUAUCAAGGUCCUGAGAUGUUUCCUUCCAAGAUACUCCCACCGUGGUUUGACAAAGAUGAGCUCACCAUGCUCUUGGAUGUAGAGCCACUGGACUCUUGCUGACAGUCUUGCCAUGAUGCUGGGCUAUGACUCUGAUCGCUUGGUUUGCUAUACUCAGUAGGACUGUGGCUUCCUGGCAAGGAAGACACCUGCAGGAGAAACCGACAUGGGAAAGAAUGAGGAAGACGCAGCAGUGUUGUAUGCACGGUUACCAGUGACACAGAAGUCAUGCACACAGGCUACAAAUGUGAAAUCAUAACAAAUUACUGCUUCACUUACCACCUCUUCCUGAUGAUGUUCAGCUCAUAAUUUAGAAAAAUCAAAACAAGAGAAAGGAGAGGAAAGGGAGAGGAAGCCAGUCUUAACUGCCAUGUGCCUGACAAAGAAGAAAUGGUCUCUGAGGUGGUCCUGUCAGCCCAUGUCUAGCUCAUUUGUCCUUGGGUCAAAGCAGGAAUAAGAAUGCUGGCCUUCCUAUAAUUUGGAAGUUCAAAUCUCAUAUCCUCUAAUUCAGACUCAAGAAAUUUGAAAGCCAGGAAUCAAUAGACAGAAGCAUUUAACAGCUGAACCUGGAUGAGACUGAGGAAUUCAGAGGAAAAUUUUGAGAGCCUUCAUCCAGUAGCUGAUGGAAGCAGACGCAGACACCCACAGAUACAAUUAUUGACAUUGGACAUAAAACAAUUGAAAGCAUUGGCUCAACGCUAUUCAGUUUUCAUUGACAAUUUCCCUCAGAUAUUCAGCUUCCUACGGCUUUGCCUGGUGUUCAGUCAAUGGGAGAUGCCCAUGGAAGUAGAAGCUUGAUGGACAGGAGGAAGAGUCUACACUGUAUAUUCAUUGUUCCUCUUCCACAGUAUCUUUGAAAAAUGCUGUGUAUUCAUGUAAGGAUCACCUGUGGAUUUCUCUUCAAAGGCCCUUUACAGUCUUCUGCUGGUGUUGCAGACAUAAGGGUGGCAGUGGCUUUGUGAUCUCACGAACCUUCAGAUACCCCCAUUUAAGCAACCAGAAAAUCUAGAAUUGUAGAAUAGUCUAUCUUUCUUCCAUAAUUCAAACUAAAUCAAGAAGCUUAGAGGAAAGAUGGACAGAUGAGUGGGACAUUGCCUUAUGUACCUGAAUAUGUAAUCCUCUUAUCUCUAGCUUACUUGCCUAUUUAAAUUUUUAUAAUUCUCAAAAUGAUGACUUUGGUGUUAUCUUUUUUUUAUAUUACUGAUACUCUUAGUCACUUUAAGUUCAGAUAAAAUAUAUUUGAAUAUUAUUGGUUAUUUAUGGAACAAUCACCACUUGUUGAUUGGUUACUAUGCAGGACCUGGGUGAACAGUGAAGAGAGAUGAAAGUGACGCCAUUGGGGAGCUCACCCAGCAUAGAAGCUACAAGUCUAAGAUAAGAUAUAU